UAGUUGAGUUGAAUUGAGUUGAGUAACUAAGAGUUGAUAAUUGUCUUUAAGAUCUGGGCAAGAGUUAAUUAUUUGCACUCAAAUUAGAGAGAAAAGGUUGAAAAAUAUUGAUUUUCAGUGUCAAUUUAUUUUGCGGUGGGGUUUCAGGGCUGCUUCAGUGCAGCUGCGGUGGUGGUUACACAAGAUGAUUUCUACAUGUUUGUGUAUCCACUCCAAUCUGGUCUUGGCUUUGGGUUCUGAUGGGCUUUACGAUAUGACAUCUUUUCUUCUUUCCUAGUUUCUGUUAUAAACAGUCAAGUUUGUGUUUGAGAAUGCUAAAUAUCCUUGCGUACAAGCUCAAUCCUAGAUUCCUUGGUGGUGUGGUGGGAAUGGUGGUGCCUGGCAGGUUCCUUGUGUACACUUCUGUUAGGUGUAACUAUGUUUCAAUUUUUUUUUUAAAGAUUAUUAGGAUAAAGAGAAUAUUUGUUGCAGAAAUGGUGACUAAGGGAGCAAGUGAAAAUGAAACAAUAAAGACAUCAUACUAAAGUUUCCUUCUUUAUCUUUUGUUUUGGACCAAUAAGUUAUUCAAAUGGUUUCAACUUGUUGUAACCGCCUUUUUUGAUAUAAACCUAGUUGGGCAUUUGAGAAUGAAGCAUGGUUGAAAUAAAAAUAUGGCAUUGUUCUGCUAUGCUUCGUGGCAAUUUGUUAAAUUGCCUGGAGCCCUUGAUUUAUUUUUCUGUUGUGCACAAAUACACAUUGUUGAGAGAAGGGAGAUUGAGGU
rnacentral:misc_RNA from 1 species